GUCUAGUUAGUUUUACUAUAAAAUAUGGUUUUUGUAAUA
rnacentral:tRNA from 1 species